AAAUACUGAAAGAAUGCCCUAAAGCAGGGGUUCUCAGGACAAUUUUUUUGGUGGCUUCAGAGUACGGCCACCAACUCUUGUUGGUGGCUGCUCUCACACGUUUCCCUAAAAUACUUAAUUACCUUUAGGAAAAAAUAAAUAUACAUAUAUACACGUCCAAAUCAUUAUAAUUUAUUUAU